CCUACGGGUGGCUGCAGUGAGGAAUAUUGGUCAAUGGGCGUAAGUCUGAACCAGCCAAGUCGCGUGAGGGAUGAAUGUUCUAUGGAUCGUAAACCUCUUUUAUAAGGGAAUAAAGUGUGGGACGUGUCCUGUUUUGUAUGUACCUUAUGAAUAAGGAUCGGCUAACUCCGUGCCAGCAGCCGCGGUAAUACGGAGGAUCCGAGCGUUAUCCGGAUUUAUUGGGUUUAAAGGGUGCGUAGGCGGCCUUUUAAGUCAGCUGUGAAAGUUUGUGGCUCAACCAUAAAAUUGCAGUUGAAACUGGGAGUCUUGAGUAGAGUUGAGGCAGGCGGAAUGCGUGGUGUAGCGGUGAAAUGCUUAGAUAUCACGCAGAACCCCGAUUGCGAAGGCAGCUUACUAAGC
rnacentral:rRNA from 1 species